AAUCAACGCUGGCGGCGUGCCUAACACAUGCAAGUCGAGCGCGAAAAGGGGCUUCGGCCCCUAAGUAGAGCGGCGGACGGGUGAGUAACACGUGGGUAAUCUAUCCUCGGGCGGGGAAUAACCUCGGGAAACCGGGGCUAAUUCCGCAUAACAUCCCAAGUUCACAAGCGUUUGGGAUCAAAGCUGGGGACCCUUCGGGGCCUGGCGCCUGAGUGAGGAACCCGCGGCCGAUUAGCUUGUUGGUGGGGUAAUGGCUCACCAAGGCUACGAUCGGUAGCCGGCCUGAGAGGGCGGACGGCCACACUGGGACUGAGACACGGCCCAGACUCCUACGGGAGACAGCAGUGGGGAAUUUUUGGCAAUGGGGGAAACCCUGACCAAGCAACGCCGUGUGGAGGAUGAAGGCCUUCGGGUCGUAAACUCCUGUCAGAGGGGACGAAAGUAUCUGGGGUUAAUACCCUCAGGUGUUGACGGUACCCUACGAGGAAGCCCCGGCUAACUCCGUG
rnacentral:rRNA from 1 species